rnacentral:rRNA from 1 species
AUUGAACGCUGGCGGCAGGCUUAACACAUGCAAGUCGAGCGGGGUGAUGGUGCUUGCACUAUCACUUAGCGGCGGACGGGUGAGUAAUGCUUAGGAAUCUGCCUAUUAGUGGGGGACAACACCUCGAAAGGGAUGCUAAUACCGCAUACGUCCUACGGGAGAAAGCAGGGGAUCACUUGUGACCUUGCGCUAAUAGAUGAGCCUAAGUCGGAUUAGCUAGUUGGUGGGGUAAGGGCCUACCAAGGCGACGAGCUGUAGCGGGUCUGAGAGGAUGAUCCGCCACACUGGGACUGAGACACGGCCCAGACUCCUACGGGAGGCAGCAGUGGGGAAUAUUGGACAAUGGGGGGAACCCUGAUCCAGCCAUGCCGCGUGUGUGAAGAAGGCCUUAUGGUUGUAAAGCACUUUAAGCGAGGAGGAGGCUCUUUUGGUUAAUACCCAAGAUGAGUGGACGUUACUCGCAGAAUAAGCACCGGCUAACUCUGUGCCAGCCGCCGCAGUAA